UUGAGAUGAAUUCUCUAGAAUCAUCCAAUCCAUUCCAAGACAACACACCAUUCUCAUCUUCAUUUUCAUCAAAGAAAGAAGUAGGCUGAGCAUCUAUAUCUCUCUCUCUCUCUUGACAACACAAUCUUGAGGGUUCGAAUCAUCUUCAUAUCCAUAUCUCCAUCUUCAUCAAACCCAUUCACCCUCUUUCUCUUUCCUUUAGAUCUCAUCUCAUCAUCAUCAAACCCAUUUCUCUAUUACCAUUUUCUUGGAGACCCACCAAUCCGAUUUCCCCUCUCUCUAAUUUGUGUUUGUUUCAGACCAAAUUAGGUGAAAAAAUACAACAGACCCACAAAUCCUUUAUGAGAUUUUCAAAUAUUGAAACUCAGUGCAAAAUCUAGGAAUUGGUUGAGAUGGAGAACAAGUUCAUCAAUUAUGAUGGAAUCCAGAUUGUUUCUGCUAGGCCUUGGCUCACCCUACUUGGGAAAAAUCAUUUUCAAGUGCUAGUGAUAUGCCUCCGCCAAAGACUUAGCUUAGAAGGAUUGUAGAGCUGAAGGUUCACUUUUGUUUAUUUUGUAUUUAUCUUUUAUACAAGUCUAGGGCUUUAUUUGUAUUUGGCUUAUAACUCAUUUUGUUGUAACCAAGCACGGUCUUGAAAACAUGUAAGCCUUUAGGGCAUAUGAAUAUCUGUUUAGCUUUCAUUUUUUAUUCUGUCUUGUAAUACAUGAUGGAGAUUCAGGAUGAACGAUUUAUGAAUGUAUAUCACAGGUGUCACCUUUUGUAAAUUAACUUUGAUUAAUGAAAGCUUCUUACUUUAUCUA